rnacentral:rRNA from 1 species
ACGGGUGCGUAACGCGUGGGAAUCUGCCCUUAGGUUCGGAAUAACCGUUGGAAACGACGGCUAAUACCGGAUGAUAUCGCGAGAUCAAAGAUUUAUCGCCUGAGGAUGAGCCCGCGUAAGAUUAGGUAGUUGGUGGGGUAAAGGCCUACCAAGCCGACGAUCUUUAGCUGGUCUGAGAGGAUGAUCAGCCACACUGGGACUGAGACACGGCCCAGACUCCUACGGGAGGCAGCAGUGGGGAAUAUUGGACAAUGGGCGCAAGCCUGAUCCAGCAAUGCCGCGUGAGUGAUGAAGGCCUUAGGGUUGUAAAGCUCUUUUACCCGGGAUGAUAAUGACAGUACCGGGAGAAUAAGCCCCGGCUAACUCCGUGCCAGCAGCCGCGGUAAUACGGAGGGGGCUAGCGUUGUUCGGAAUUACUGGGCGUAAAGCGCACGUAGGCGGCUUUGUAAGUUAGGGGUGAAAGCCUGGAGCUCAACUCCAGAAUUGCCUUUAAGACUGCAUCGCUUGAAUCCAGGAGAGGUGAGUGGAAUUCCGAGUGUAGAGGUGAAAUUCGUAGA